CUUGUGGUAGUUGAAUAAAACAUCAGACUCUUAAUCUGGGAGGUACUAGUAAGUUUGUCUAGUUCACAAGG
rnacentral:tRNA from 1 species